rnacentral:rRNA from 1 species
CAACUCCGGUUGACCCUGCCGGCGGGCACCGCUAUGGGAGUUCGCUUAAGACAUGCGAGUCGAGAGGUGUAAGACCUCGGCAGACGGCUCAGUAACACGCGGACAACCUGCCCUCGGGUGGGGGAUACUCUCGGGAAACUGAGAAUAAUACCCCAUAGGUCCGGGAUGCUGGAAUGCUUCCGGGCUCAAAGCUCCGGCGCCCGAGGAUGGGUCUGCGGCCUAUCAGCUUGUAGGGGGUUUAACAGACCCCCUAGGCAUCGACGGGUACGGGCUAUGGGAGUAGUCGCCCGGAGAUGGACUCUGAGACACGAGUCCAGGCCCUACGGGGCGCAGCAGUCGCGAAAACUCCGCAAUGUGGGAAACCACGACGGGGGAACUCCCAGUGCGUGCGCUUUGCGUACGCUGUUCUCUCGCUUAAAUCGCGGGAGGAGUAAGGGCCGGGUAAGACGGGUGCCAGCCGCCGCGGUAAUACCCGCGGCCCGAGUGGUGCUCAUUAUUAUUGAGCCUAAAACGUCCGUAGCCGGCUCGGUAAAUUCCUGGGUAAAUCGGGCAGCUCAACUGUCCGAAUUCCGGGGAGACUGCCGGGCUCGGGACCGGGAGAGGUCGGAGGUACUCCGGGGGUAGGGGUAAAAUCCUGUAAUCCUCGGAGGACCACCAGUGGCGAAGGCGUCCGACUAGAACGGAUCCGACGGUCAGGGACGAAGCCCAGGGGCGCAAACGGGAUUAGAUACCCCGGUAGUCCUGGGUGUAAACGCUGCAGGCUUGGUGUCGGGGGUCCUACGUGGGCGCCCGGUGCCGGAGCGAAGGUGUUAAGCCUGCUGCUUGGGGAGUACGGUCGCAAGACUGAAACUUAAAGGGAUUGGCGGGGGAGCACCGCAACGGGAGGAGCGUGCGGUUCAAUUGGAUUCAACGCCGGAAAACUCACCGGGGGCGACCCUUACAUGAAGGCCAGGCUGAUGACUUUGCCUGAUUUUGGGAGAGGUGGUGCAUGGCCGUCGUCAGUUCGUACCGUAGGGCGUUCUGUCAAGUCAGAUAACGAACGAGACCCUUGCCCAUUGUUGCUACGUCGAUCUCCGGAUCGGCGGCACACUAUGGGGACCGCCAUCGCUAAGAUGGAGGAAGGAGAGGUCAACGGUAGGUCCGUAUGCCCCGAAUCCCCCGGGCAACACGCGCGCUACAAAGGACGGGACAAUGGGUUCCGACCCCGAGAGGGGAAGGCAAUCCCGAAACCCGUUCGCAGUUCAGACUGAGGGCUGUAACCCGCCCUCACGAAGAUGGAUUCCGUAGUAAUCGCGUGUCAACAUCACGCGGUGAAUAUGCCCCUGCUCCUUGCACACACCGCCCGUCAAGCCACCCGAGUUGGGCUUCAGUGAGGGUGCGAUCCUUGUCGCGCUCGAACUGAGGUUCAGCAAGGAGGGCUAAGUCGUAACAAGGUAUCUGUAGGGGAACCUGCAGAUGGAUCACCUCCUAAG